rnacentral:rRNA from 1 species
AUUGAACGCUGGCGGAAUGCUUUACACAUGCAAGUCGAACGGUAGAGGGGGCAACCCCUUGAGAGUGGCGAACGGGUGAGUAAUAUAUCGGAACGUGCCCAGUCGUGGGGAUAACGUAGCGAAAGUUACGCUAAUACCGCAUACGAUCUAAGGAUGAAAGCGGGGGACUCGCAAGAGCCUCGCGCGAUUGGAGCGGCCGAUAUCAGAUUAGGUAGUUGGUGAGGUAAAGGCUCACCAAGCCGACGAUCUGUAGCUGGUCUGAGAGGACGACCAGCCACACUGGGACUGAGACACGGCCCAGACUCCUACGGGAGGCAGCAGUGGGGAAUUUUUGGGACAAUGGGCGCAAGCCUGAUCCAGCAAUGCCGCGUGCAGGAUGAAGGCCUCGGUUGUAACGUAGCUUUUGUUACGGUAACGAAACC